rnacentral:rRNA from 1 species
GACGAACGCUGGCGGCGUGCUUAACACAUGCAAGUCGAACGCUGAAGCCCCAGCUUGCUGGUGUGGAUGAGUGGCGAACGGGUGAGUAAUACGUGAGUAACCUGCCCUUGACUCUGGGAUAAGCCCGGGAAACUGGGUCUAAUACUGGAUGCUACAUGUCACCGCAUGGUGGUGUGUGGAAAGGGUUUACUGGUCUUGGAUGGGCUCACGGCCUAUCAGCUUGUUGGUGAGGUAAUGGCUCACCAAGGCGACGACGGGUAGCCGGCCUGAGAGGGUGACCGGCCACAAUGGGACUGGGACACGGCCCAGACUCCUACGGGGGGCAGCAGGGGGGAAUAUUGCACAAUGGGCGAAAGCCUGAUGCAGCGACGCCGCGGGGGGGAUGACGGCCUUCGGGUUGUAAACCUCUUUCAGCAGGGAAGAAGCCACAAGUGACGGUACCUGCAGAAGAAGCGCCGGCUAACUACGUG